rnacentral:rRNA from 1 species
UGCGUAGGUGGUUUCUUAAGUCUGAUGUGAAAGCCCACGGCUCAACCGUGGAGGGUCAUUGGAAACUGGGAGACUUGAGUGCAGAAGAGGAUAGUGGAAUUCCAAGUGUAGCGGUGAAAUGCGUAGAGAUUUGGAGGAACACCAGUGGCGAAGGCGACUGUCUGGUCUGUAACUGACACUGAGGCGCGAAAGCGUGGGAGCAAACA